rnacentral:tRNA from 1 species
GCCGGAUUGGCGGAAUUGGUAGACGCGGCGCACUCAAAAUGCGCUGUCGCAAGACGUGCGGGUUCGAGUCCCGCAUCCGGUA